AGUGAACGCUGGCGGCAGGCCUAACACAUGCAAGUCGAGCGGCAGCGCGGGGGCAACCCUGGCGGCGAGCGGCGGACGGGUGAGGAAUUCGUCGGAAUCUGCCUUUUUGUGGGGGAUAACGUAGGGAAACUUACGCUAAUACCGCAUACGUCCUACGGGAGAAAGUGGGGGACCGCAAGGCCUCACGCAGAAAGAUGAGCCGACGACCGAUUAGCUAGUUGGUGGGGUAAAGGCCCACCAAGGCGACGAUCGGUAGCUGGUCUGAGAGGAUGAUCAGCCACACUGGGACUGAGACACGGCCCAGACUCCUACGGGAGGCAGCAGUGGGGAAUAUUGGACAAUGGGCGCAAGCCUGAUCCAGCCAUGCCGCGUGUGUGAAGAAGGCCUUCGGGUUGUAAAGCACUUUUGUCCGGAAAGAAAUGCCUGGAGCUAAGACCUUCGGGGGAUGACGGUACCGGAAGAAUAAGCACCGGCUAACUUCGUG
rnacentral:rRNA from 1 species